UACGAAGGGGACUAGCGUUGUUCGGAAUUACUGGGCGUAAAGCGCACGUAGGCGGAUUUGUUAGUCAGGGGUGAAAUCCCGGGGCUCAACCUCGGAACUGCCUUUGAUACUGCAAGUCUCGAGUCCGAUAGAGGUGGGUGGAAUUCCUGGUGUAGCGGUGAAAUGCGCAGAUAUCAGGAGGAACACCGGUGGCGAAGGCGGCACGCUGGACCUCUUCUGACGCUGAGGCGCGAAAGCCAGGGGAGCGAACGGG
rnacentral:rRNA from 1 species